rnacentral:rRNA from 1 species
UCGGGAAUUUUGGGCAAUGGGCGAAAGCCUGACCCAGCAACGCCGCGUGAAGGAUGAAGUAUUUCGGUAUGUAAACUUCGAAAGAAUGGGAAGAAUAAAUGACGGUACCAUUUAUAAGCUCCGGCUAACUACGUGCCAGCAGCCGCGGUAAUACGUAGGGAGCAAGCGUUGUUCGGAUUUACUGGGCGUAAAGGGCGCGUAGGCGGCGCGGUAAGUCACUUGUGAAAUCUCUGAGCUUAACUCAGAACGGCCAAGUGAUACUGCAGUGCUAGAGUGCAGAAGGGGCAAUCGGAAUUCUUGGUGUAGCGGUGAAAUGCGUAGAUAUCAAGAGGAACACCUGAGGUGAAGACGGGUUGCUGGGCUGACACUGACGCUGAGGCGCGAAAGCCAGGGGAGCAAACGGGAUUAGAUACCCUAGUAGUCCCUGAGCGGGCUGGCAAGGCGCAU